rnacentral:rRNA from 1 species
CCUACGGGGGGCAGCAGUGGGGAAUAUUGCACAAUGGGGGGAAACCCUGAGCCGCCAACGCGGCGUGGGCGAUGAGGGCCUCCGGGUCGAAAGGCUCGGCCUUAGGGGAAGAUUACGACCGGUCCCUAGGAGGGAAGCCCCGGCUAACUACGGGCCAGCAGCCGCGGUAAUACGUAGGGGGCUAGCGUUAUCCGGAAUUACUGGGCGUAAAGGGUGCGUAGGCGGCCCUUCAAGUCAGAGGUGAAAGGCUACGGCUCAACCGUAGUAAGCCUUUGAAACUGUAGGGCUUGAGUGCAGGAGAGGAGAGUGGAAUUCCCAGUGUAGCGGUGAAAUACGUAGAUAUUGGGAGGAACACCAGUUGCGAAGGCGGCUCUCUGGACUGUAACUGACGCUGAGGCACGAAAGCGUGGGGAGCGAACAGGAUUAGAUACCCGAGUAGUC